UAAACGAUGUCAACUAGUUGUUGGGGAUUCAUUUCUUCAGUAACGUAGCUAACGCGUGAAGUUGACCGCCUGGGGAGUACGGUCGCAAGAUUAAAACUCAAAGGAAUUGACGGGGACCCGCACAAGCGGUGGAUGAUGUGGAUUAAUUCGAUGCAACGCGAAAAACCUUACCUACCCUUGACAUGCCACUAACGAAGCAGAGAUGCAUCAGGUGCCCGAAAGGGAAAGUGGACACAGGUGCUGCAUGGCUGUCGUCAGCUCGUGUCGUGAGAUGUUGGGUUAAGUCCCGCAACGAGCGCAACCCUUGUCUUUAGUUGCUACGCAAGAGCACUCUAGAGAGACUGCCGGUGACAAACCGGAGGAAGGUGGGGAUGACGUCAAGUCCUCAUGGCCCUUAUGGGUAGGGCUUCACACGUCAUACAAUGGUGCGUACAGAGGGUUGCCAACCCGCGAGGGGGAGCUAAUCCCAGAAAACGCAUCGUAGUCCGGAUCAUAGUCUGCAACUCGACUACGUGAAGCUGGAAUCGCUAGUAAUCGCGGAUCGGCAUGCCGCGGUGAAUACGUUCCCGGGUCUUGUACACACCGCCCGUCACACCAUGGGAGUGGGUUUUGCCAGAAGUAGUUAGCCUAACCGCAAGGAGGGCGAUUACCACGGCAGGGUUCAUGACUGGGGUGAAGUCGUAACAAGGUAACC
rnacentral:rRNA from 1 species